rnacentral:rRNA from 1 species
UACGGGUAUGUGCGAGUGUUAUUCUACUUGACUGGGCGUAAAGGGUGCGUAGGCUGUCAAGCAAGAUUUAGGUGAAGAGGUACGAAUGAGUGCAGAUGCCUAUCCAACUACUUGACUUGAGUAUAAUGGAAGAUAGCGGAACUGUUAGCAUUAGAGUUAAAAUGCGUUAUAAAACUAACAGGAACACCAGAGGCGAAGGCGGCUAUCUAUGUUAUACUGACGCUGAGGCCACGAAGGCAUGGUAGUCGAAUGGGAAUUGAGA